rnacentral:rRNA from 1 species
UACGAAGGGGGCUAGCGUUGCUCGGAAUCACUGGGCGUAAAGGGCGCGUAGGCGGGCUGUCAAGUCUGGGGUGAAAUCCCGCGGCUCAACCGUGGAACUGCCUCAGAUACUGACGGCCUCGAGGGAGGUAGGGGCGAGCGGAACUGUGAGUGGAGCGGUGAAAUGCGUUGAUAUUCACAGGAACUCCGGUGGCGAAGGCGGCUCGCUGGACCUUUUCUGACGCCGAGGCGCGAAAGCUAGGGGAGCAAACGGG